rnacentral:rRNA from 1 species
UACGUAGGGUGCAAGCGUUAAUCGGAAUUACUGGGCGUAAAGGGCGCGUAGGCGGCCAUCUAAGUCAGACGUGAAAUCCCCCGGCUUAACCUGGGAACUGCGUCUGAUACUGGAAGGCUUGAGUAUGGGAGAGGGAUGUAGAAUUCCAGGUGUAGCGGUGAAAUGCGUAGAUAUCUGGAGGAAUACCGGUGGCGAAGGCGGCAUCCUGGACCAUUACUGACGCUGAGACGCGAAAGCGUGGGGAGCAAACAGG